UACGUAGGGUGCAAGCGUUAAUCGGAAUUACUGGGCGUAAAGCGUGCGUAGGUGGUUUGUUAAGUCUGAUGUGAAAGCCCUGGGCUCAACCUGGGAACUGCAUUGGAUACUGGCUUACUAGAGUGCGGUAGAGGGUGGCGGAAUUCCCGGUGUAGCAGUGAAAUGCGUAGAUAUCGGGAGGAACAUCCGUGGCGAAGGCGGCCACCUGGACCAGCACUGACACUGAGGCACGAAAGCGUGGGGAGCAAACAGG
rnacentral:rRNA from 1 species